UUCAAAUAAAUAUAUAUGUUUGCAUCUUAGACCAUCGUUAUCGCAGUGUCUUAGACGCAUCCUUAGUAAUUAAAUGUCAAAUAAUAAAUGAAAAAUGCCAAGAAACAAGUGAAACGUUUGUUAAUUAAAAACUUUUUGGACGCGUUCCUUAAUGCCACACGUCAUACAUGAAGAAGAAGCAAAUUACGCUCUUCGUGACGACUUGUCUGACUACCUUCGUACGAUUUCAUCUGGUACGACUUAAACGGCUCUGAUCCGGGUAAAAGCAAUCAAAAUCGGAUCUUGUUGUUGGCUGCUGCUGGUCUUGAUGCUGUGGUCUUCAUCAGGAUGGUCAUUUGCAGCAUUCGUAUCUUCUCAAUCGUUGCGGUCGUUUGCAUUUCUUUUAUCCUUCCUGUAAACUAUUACGGACAAAAACUUAUAAAAACAGAGCUUAAAGUA